UGUAACGUAUCAUAUCAUGAUACAUUACUAUUACAUUAAUAUUUCCUUUUCCUCAGAGCUUCAAGAAGCAGCUUUUCAACUUGAAAACCCUGAAAAACACUGUCAGGUGUGUAGCCUAGAACUGCAAAGAUUUUCACUCUUCAACUGUAUAUGCUGUUGUAGUGCAGAAGCCCUGACUUGCUCUUCUCACUACAGGUAUGUGUGUUUGGCCUUGGCUCACGUGUGUACCCACAAUUCUGUGCCUUUGCCCAUGCUGUGGAUGACAAACUUGCUGAGCUGGGGGCCAAGCGUCUGACUGUCACAGGAGAGGGAGAUGAACGUAAUGGACAGGACGAGGCUCUUAUCAGAGAGCCUGGGUUUGCACUGCUUUUAAGGAUGCAUGUGAGGAGUUUAACAUUAAAAAACUGCUGAAAGCUGUUGAGCAACAGUCAGACGACUGGGACCCACAGAGAUAUAGAGUGCAGCAUGACCGUUACACUCUGGACCGAAUUACAGCACUGUCUGCUCUUCACUCUAAAACUGUGUUUUCUAUGAUGCUGAAAAGAAGGCAGAAACUGCAGGGCGCUCAGCCAAGGUUUGAUUCUACAGCUUCACUAAUUAACAAACUUGUAAAUGUUUUUUUUUUAUUUUUAUGUUUUUACUUAUUUAUUCGUUUUUUCAGUCGUUCUACUAUCCUGGUUGAGCUGAAGACGAAUGGAAACACAGAGGCCUUGAAUUUUGCCCCUGGAGAUCAUGUGGGGAUUUUUUCCAGAGAAUUCUCCAGAGCUGGUGGAUGGUAUCUUGAAGAUGCUCCUCCUGUUAACCAAAGCCUCCACCUGGAGUCCCUUUCAGACUCUAGCCAUGGUGACUCUCACUAAUAGGAAAAGAGAUGGCAGACAGAUGAACGCAUCCCUGUUUGCUCGCUGGUUCGGGGUCUUACGUGCUUCCUUGAUAUCACACCUCCACCUUUGCAAAGCCUGCUGCACAAACUCUCUACAGUUGUGGGUCAGGAAGAGGAUCGCAAACGACUUGAAGCACUUGCAUCGGAUUUCCAGGAAUAUUCUACAUGGGAAGACUUCUACAGGCCCACCUUCUUGUAGAUGCUCGAAGAAUUUCAAUCUCUAA
rnacentral:lncRNA from 1 species